AUUGAACGCUGGCGGCAGGCCUAACACAUGCAAGUCGAGCGGAGCGGCCGACGGGUGAGUAAGUCCUGUGUAUCUGCCUGGUAGUGGGGGAUAACGUCCGGAAGCGGGCGGUAAUACCUCAUACUAGCCGUCGGAUCUAGGUCGGAUUAGCUAGUUGGUGGGGUAAAUGCCUACCAAGGCGACGAUCCGUAGCUGGUCUGAGAGGAUGAUCAGUCACACUGGAACUGAGACACGGUCCAGACUCCUACGGGAGGCAGCAGUGGGGAAUAUUGGACAAUGGGCGAAAGCCUGAUCCAGCCAUGCCGCGUGUGUGAAGAAGGUCUUCGGAUUGUAAAGCACUUUAAGUUGGGAGGCGUUACCAACAGAAUAAGCACCGGCUAACUUCGUGCCAGCAGCCGCGGUAAUUC
rnacentral:rRNA from 1 species